rnacentral:rRNA from 1 species
AUUGAACGCUGGCGGCAGGCCUAACACAUGCAAGUCGAACGAGUGGCGGACGGGUGAGUAAUGUCUGGGAAACUGCCCGAUGGAGGGGGAUAACUACUGGAAACGAUAGCUAAUACCGCAUACUAGUAGCUGGACCUGCGUUGUAUUAGCUAGUAGGUAGGGUAAUGGCCUACCUAGGCAACGAUACAUAGCCGACCUGAGAGGAUGAUCAGCCACACUGGGACUGAGACACGGCCCAGACUCCUACGGGAGGCAGCAGUGGGGAAUAUUGCACAAUGGGCGCAAGCCUGAUGCAGCCAUGCCGCGUGUAUGAAGAAGGCCUUAGGGUUGUAAAGUACUUUCAGCGGGGAGGCGUUACCCGCAGAAGAAGCACCGGCUAACUCCGUGCCAGCCGCCGCGGUAAUUC